rnacentral:rRNA from 1 species
UGCAGUCGAACGGCAGCACAGUAAGAGCUUGCUCUUAUGGGUGGCGAGUGGCGGACGGGUGAGGAAUACAUCGGAAUCUACCUUUUCGUGGGGGAUAACGUAGGGAAACUUACGCUAAUACCGCAUACGACCUUCGGGUGAAAGCAGGGGACCUUCGGGCCUUGCGCGGAUAGAUGAGCCGAUGUCGGAUUAGCUAGUUGGCGGGGUAAAGGCCCACCAAGGCGACGAUCCGUAGCUGGUCUGAGAGGAUGAUCAGCCACACUGGAACUGAGACACGGUCCAGACUCCUACGGGAGGCAGCAGUGGGGAAUAUUGGACAAUGGGCGCAAGCCUGAUCCAGCCAUACCGCGUGGGUGAAGAAGGCCUUCGGGUUGUAAAGCCCUUUUGUUGGGAAAGAAAAGCAGUCGGCUAAUACCCGGUUGUUCUGACGGUACCCAAAGAAUAAGCACCGGCUAACUUCGUGCCAGCAGCCGCGGUAAUACGAAGGGUGCAAGCGUUACUCGGAAUUACUGGGCGUAAAGCGUGCGUAGGUGGUUGUUUAAGUCUGUUGUGAAAGCCCUGGGCUCAACCUGGGAAUUGCAGUGGAUACUGGGCGACUAGAGUGUGGUAGAGGGUAGUGGAAUUCCCGGUGUAGCAGUGAAAUGCGUAGAGAUCGGGAGGAACAUCCAUGGCGAAGGCAGCUAC